rnacentral:rRNA from 1 species
AGUCGAACGAAGUAGCAAUACUUAGUGGCAGACGGGUGAGUAACAUGUAGGUAUCUGCCCUUUGGCCUGGAAUAACACGAGGAAACUUGUGCUAAUACCGGAUAAGUCUUUACGGAGAAAGCUUUAUGCACCAUUGGAUGAGCCUGCACUUGAUUAGUUUGUUGGUGGGGUAAUGGCCUACCAAGACUGUGAUCAAUAGCUGAUUUGAGAGGAUGAUCAGCCACAUUGGGACUGAGACACGGCCCAAACUCCUACGGGUGGCAGCAGUGGGGAAUCUUGCACAAUGGAGGAAACUCUGAUGCAGCGAUGCCGCGUGAGUGAAGAAGGCCCUUGGGUUGUAAAGCUCUUUCGUCGGGGAAGAAAAUGACUGUACCCGAAUAAGAAGGUCCGGCUAACUUCGUGCCAGCAGCCGCGGUAAUACGAAGGGACCUAGCGUAGUUCGGAAUUACUGGGCUUAAAGAGUUCGUAGGUGGUUGAAAAAGUUAGUGGUGAAAUCCCAGAGCUUAACUCUGGAACUGCCAUUAAAACUUUUCAGCUAGAGUAUGAUAGAGGAAAGCAGAAUUUCUAGUGUAGAGGUGAAAUUCGUAGAUAUUAGAAAGAAUACCAAUUGCGAAGGCAGCUCUCUGGAUCAUUACUGACACUGAGGAACGAAAGCAUGGGUAGCGAAGAGGAUUAGAUACCCUCGUAGUCCAUGCCGUAAACGAUGUGUGUUAGACGUUGGAAAUUUAUUUUCAGUGU